rnacentral:rRNA from 1 species
UACAGAGGUGGCAAGCGUUGUUCGGAAUUACUGGGCGUAAAGGGCGCGUAGGCGGUCUUCUAAGUCAGACGUGAAAUCCCCCGGCUUAACCUGGGAACUGCGUCUGAUACUGGGAGGCUAGAGUAUGGGAGAGGGAUGUAGAAUUCCAGGUGUAGCGGUGAAAUGCGUAGAUAUCUGGAGGAAUACCGGUGGCGAAGGCGGCAUCCUGGACCAUUACUGACGCUGAGGCGCGAAAGCUAGGGGAGCAAACGGG